rnacentral:lncRNA from 1 species
GCAAAUCAUAUGUAUCUAGUGGCGAAAAAGGACAGACUAUCAAGUUUGCAGAAACUCUGGCACUGGAUCAACAUUGUUUUCUUUAGCAUAGCAUCUGUGGCAGCAACAGUUGCAGCACUACGGCUUAUUUCUGUAGACUCCAAAACAUACCAUAUUUUUGCAGAUAUUUGAUGAAACUCAUUAUAUUAUUUCAGCAAUUGUAAUGCGACAUUUACAUGUUUUGAAUGCUCUCAUUGUUAGAAAAAUAACAAUAAAGAUAGGAUUUCCUCGCAGAAGAUUGUAUUUUGUUGAGUAGUCUACUCUUAGUCAAUAUUAGACAUUUAUAUCAUCAAAUACACAGUUUUGGCACUAAUUAAGCAAUGUACUAUGCGCCAUAUUGUUUAUGAGGGUUAGUUACAUGAUCGGAUUCUGUUGGUCAAGUAAGCAAGCAAGAUGCGCCAAAAAAUAAUGUGAAAAUUAUAGUAAGAAAAACGUGAAAAGAUCAUUAAUUAAUUAUUCAAUAUAAAUACAACACUCACUGACACACGCACGCGCUCACACACACUAUAGAGCUUUUGCAAGAGUACAGGACCCCUGAAGUAAACUGCACAAACAAACCAAUUUCAUGCUUCCAUUUCUAGGGAAAUUAAGUGAGUCAUUAUCAAACUGAGUUAAACUUAAACCAAAAAUCUCUCACUCACAAGUUAAAAUUUAUAGUCAAUCAUGUUAUAAAAUGGUUAUUAUUGGAUUAUAAUUAAUAAUUAAAGUUCAACAAAAAUAUGAAUGCAUCAGCUAAAAACUGAUGAAUAUAUUUCAACUUUAUGCUUAUUUCAAUUUUCAAGCAUACAAUACAAUAAUGUAGAAAUAAAGUAAGAAAAAAGGGGGGAAAUUGAAUUGAUGAAAGUAUUAUUGUAGGGUAAGUUAGGUACCUGAUAACGGAACGGCGUCGUCGGUGGUGUGAACGUAGAGCGGAGGGAGGGAUGACCCACAAAUGAGAUAACGAUGAUGAUGAUGCCGCCGAAUCAGAAGGAAGAAUAUUAUUCAUCACCUAAUCUCUAUCUAUCAUUUUUUGGAUUCAUUGGUCAACUCAUCUCAGAACAACGCACAGUUUUGCGCUUUUCUUUAACUAAACCCAGCCAAAUCACC